UAGUUCCAGGUGGAAUCCUCACCUGUUUCCUGUCGGUUAAUUAACGUUAAUCAAUACGUCACCACAAUCACCGAACGGUUCUCUGCGCAUCGUGACAAGUGGCGUUUUCGCUCAUGUUUCCUUCGUCGGGUCUUUUUGCUGUUAUAAGUUGUCCUUUCACAAAAAGUGGGCUUUGUGAGCGGCCUCACUGUUUGUACAAACAUGCGGAAGAUUUGCGGACGUUUGGAGCCUCGAAUAAAUCAUCGAUAGUUAACGCCGCAGCAGUGCAAAAUGGCUAUGCAGUGAACGAUGAAACCAAAGAUGACUGCUUCCAGGAGUUAGAGCGAAUCAACAAGGAGAUUGAAACUGUAAGGCACGAGGUGGAGCAGGAGCAAAGGCGACUGUCACACUACCAGACUGUACAGGCAGACAGCGUAAACACUGCGCCUGAUUUUACCCUCUCCGAGUCUGAGACUAUUGGUAAACAGGUACACAGAGGUCCUCCUGGGCUGUCUUCACAAGUAGGCUUUACUAAAACGUACCCCCGAGAAGGGAAAUAUGUGAUUGACAACUCAAAACCAAGGACUGAUUUGGAGUAUGAUCCUCUGUCCAACUUUUCUGCUGGCUUUCGGUCUUACAGCUCAUCAGGUAAAGAGCAAAAAGUGAGAAAGAAACAAGGUUUGAAAAGAACAAGCAAUCCUGUGCCAGUUGACGAUGACUUUAAUGAUGCCGGUGAGCUGAUUAUUGAUAUUCCUUCCUCGCCUAACAAAAAGAGAGCGAGAGCUAAGAAACCUGUUGAUUCUGUUGUUGGGAAAUCCCUCCAGGAUAAUGUGGAGGAGGUUAAAACAUCUCCACCUGCAUCAACAAUAGAAGAAAAUAGAGUUCAUAGUAGCUGCAGUGCUGAAAGUCCGCUUAACCUUAAUGAGAACAAAGAAUGUGACAAUAAACCAGUUGAUAGGAGUGUACUUGAGUUAAGCGGAUGUUUUGAAGAGCUGCAAAGUAAAAGCCAGAAAAUUAUUUGCAUUCAGGCUGCUGAAACAAUAGUGAAGUUAAGUCCUGAACCGGCAAAUCCUCCUGCCACCACAGAGCAGCAAAAUCUAAACCGGAACAAUCUUGUAGUGGAAAAGGAAGAAAGCACUUUUCACGUUGAGUUGCCUCAGUGUGAGUUGCCUGUAAGUGUUAAGAAAAUGAAUCCAAUGCAGCAGCAGCAUACUUUUCCAUCAAAGAAUUCCAUUUUUUAUCAAGCUCCGGUUGCUAACUUGGCCUCACCAUGCAGACAACACACCAAGCAAGCCCAGGCAGCUCAGAACAGCACAAGUAAUCAGUUGUCUUCCACCAAAUGUGUACCAUUAGUGCUGCCACACAGCCAGAAAACGUCAAGCAAAAUGCCAGGACAGAUGCAGGGUGAAGCUGCUGCAGCUGAAAGCUACCUGCAGCCAGCAGAACAAGGUUCAGACAGCAGCCCAGCUCUGGCUCAAAACAAUACGACCGCAUCAAGUUUGCCAAAUGGAGCCAAAUCAACUAAACGGCUCUUUGUGACCGAAGACACGAAGGAGGUUAUAGUCAUUAGUUCCAGCUCUGGUGAUGAAGAUGAGCUGAACUAUUCAGACAUCGAGCUGUCUGACAGUGACCCGAUGGAGGAAUGCUACAGGAUCUUCAUGGAGGCAAACAACGAAGUGAACGGAAAUGAAGAGCAGCCGGACACGUCUGUUGGAGCUAUGGAUGUGGAGAAGCCAGAGUUAAAUGUCAAACCUCAGGCAACGGCAGGAAAGAAGAGGAUCGCUCAUGAAGCCAAACAUACAGAGCCAGCAGCUAAGAGCAGACCUCAGCCCCAGGUGCUGGUUCCCCUACGUGGGCCUGUCGUGUCAGGAUUUCCCUCCCAGCCUUCAACUACCUCCAAGAUCCAGCAAGUCCAGCAGAGAGCCUCCGUGCUGGCUGCUUCAGUUAAAGGUGGUCAGGCUUUUGUUUCCGCCACCUGUCAGAAGAAGCCAGAGAUCCAGAGUUCACCUGUUCCUUCAACUCAAACCCCUGAAAACCUGCAGCCUGCUGUUCUUCAGCAAACUUACCAAAACUACAUUUCUUUUGGGACUGCCGUGAUCGGGGUGGGUGACAACCUGCACCUGAUCCUCCCAGACGGCUCGUUCCCUCUGCCCGUCACUUCCAGCACCAGCCAAGUGACUUCAGUGCUCACCCCGAUCGGUAAAGUGCACACGAGCACUGUCGCUGUGAGACAAAUGUACCAUCCACCUUCAGUCACCUCUGUGCAAAGAUACCGCACCACAGCACCUGUGCUCAUUCCUGCACCGGCACGUAAACCAUUACCGAGCGCUGCCGGGGCAGCAGCUGCUUCCACUGCUCCUCAACCUCCUGUCCACACAGCAUUUAAGCCAGUGCCUACAAAACGUAAAUUGAAGCAGCAGUAUGAGGCCAAAGACAAAGUGUCCCAUCAGACCCGCCAGCAUUAUGUCAACAUGUUUACUGAAGAGUUCCUCAAGUCCACAGCCAAUGUUAAUGAUGCCUUUGAAAAGGCACUUGCUGAAGAGAAGGCUGUGUAUAAUCGCAGCGUGAACCAACUGAAGUAUCUGAGUGUAGCCGUGAAUGCACUGAAGAGGCUAAAGAACCAAAGCGUUGUUGCUGCUAAAGAUGAAAAUAAAGUCAACAGCCAAAGAUCCAAAGGCAACAUUCCUCUUAAUCUGAAGAAGUUUAAAGGAAAUGCAGAUGACAUGGCAUUGUAUGAGUGUUUGAUGGAGUACAUUUUGAAUGAAGAAAAACUGGUCGAGAGCAACUUUCCUGUCCAGCACCCAGAGAAACCUGGUGGUGCCGUUCUUUUUGUUGACAAUAAGAAAGUCAAUACAGACCCCCUCAAGAGGAUCUGCUGUCGAUGUGGUGCUACGUACUCAGUGAACCAGUCAGGUAAACACAUCCGUAAGGAGGAGUGUAAUUAUCACUAUGGGAAAGGAGUUACGAAAAGAGUGCCCGGUGGGAUGGAGACUCGCUACAGCUGCUGUGAGGGAGUCAUGGGAGCACCUGGAUGUCAGGUGUUUAAGUUACAUGUUCACGACGCCCUCAGCUUGGAUGGGUUUGUGUCGACUGUCCCCAGACAUCCCUCAGAUACCAGCUGUCCUGGGGUCUACUCCUUGGAUUGUGAAAUGUGUUAUACCAUUCAUGGUUUGGAGCUAUCCAGAGUGACUGUGGUCAAUUCUAACCUGCAAGUAGUCUAUGACACCUUCGUCAGGCCUGAUAAUGAAGUCAUCGACUAUAACACCAGGUUUUCAGGCAUCAGUGAAGAAGAUGUGAAGGGUCACCACACCUCCCUCAAAGAGGUGCAGGAGACCCUACUGAGCUUCAUCAAUGCUGAUACAAUUCUGAUUGGACAUGGCCCGGAAACUAACUUCUGUACCCUGAAGAUUAAUUUUCACUCUCCCAAAGAGGCUCCCCCUAGUAAUAAGAGCUCAAGAUGUCUUCCUCUUUACUGUAGCUGCUCCAUGGGACGGUGGUGGACACAUCAGUGGUCUUCCCCCACCGUCUGGGUCCUCCUCACAAGCUGACCCUCAACAAACUCACUACUGAAUACCUCAGGAGGAUCAUCCAGGAGAGUGUUUGUGGCCACGACCCUGCAGAAGACGCUGCUGCUUGCAUGGAGCUCAUGCUAUGGAAAGCCAAAGAAGAUGGAAAACUGAAAAAAUAAUGGAAAUAAAACAUGAUAAUCACCACACUGUUAUACAUGAAGAAGAAAAAACAGAUGUAAUGCAAAUUUGAAUGUCAUGUCUGUUUGUGGUCUGAUGACAUGGGAGGGCUGUUACUUUUUAGUUUAGUUACAUCACUAAAUUUAUGUUCAUGGUAUUUUUUGUAUGUUAAAUUUUGAUUUAUGGCCCAUGUCUCUGCCUGUAUAAAUAUCUGUAAAAUCUUUAUGGGGUGUGGUGUCAUCAGUAUUAUCCAAGUAAAGGUGCAUAAUGAAAUCCC